AACGCUAGCUACAGGCUUAACACAUGCAAGUCGAGGGGCAGCAUUGGAGUAGCAAUACUUCAGAUGGCGACCGGCGCACGGGUGAGUAACACGUAUCCAACCUGCCGCUUACUCGGAGAUAGCCUUUCGAAAGAAAGAUUAAUACCCGAUGGUAUAAAGAGUUCGCAUGUUCUCUUUAUUAAAGAAUUUCGGUAAGCGAUGGGGAUGCGUUCCAUUAGAUAGUUGGCGGGGUAACGGCCCACCAAGUCUACGAUGGAUAGGGGUUCUGAGAGGAAGGUCCCCCACAUUGGAACUGAGACACGGUCCAAACUCCUACGGGAGGCAGCAGUGAGGAAUAUUGGUCAAUGGACGAGAGUCUGAACCAGCCAAGUAGCGUGAAGGAUGACUGCCCUAUGGGUUGUAAACUUCUUUUAUAAGGGAAUAAAGUGAGGGACGUGUCCCUUUUUGUAUGUACCUUAUGAAUAAGGAUCGGCUAACUCCGUGCCAGCAGCCGCGGUAAUACGGAGGAUCCAAGCGUUAUCCGGAUUUAUUGGGUUUAAAGGGAGCGUAGGUUGACAUAUAAGUCAGCUGUGAAAGUUUACGGCUCAACCGUGAAAUUGCAGUUGAUACUGUAUGUCUUGAGUGUACAAGAGGUGGGCGGAAUUCGUGGUGUAGCGGUGAAAUGCUUAGAUAUCACGAAGAACUCCGAUUG
rnacentral:rRNA from 1 species